GUGGGGGGGGGGGGAUGAUGGACAGUGCUGCCCGCGAGGCCGGGAGGCCUUUGGGGGCUUUGGGGCCGCGGAGGGCUCCGAGCGCUCUGGGGCGCGUUGGGUGGGGUUGGAGGGACCACCCGGGGAGGGACGGUAAGCCCAACUCGGACCCCGGCUUCAGAGGCGUCCUGGUCUCGAAAGAGACGGGAAAGCGUCUCUGGCCCCGGGGGCUUCAGGGCGGGCUGAGGUCUGAACCAGCACCCCGAGACUCUUGGGCAAGGGCCCGUUAGCAAUCAGAGCUGUAGAGCGGCAGCCGCCACAUCCCGAAGUGAUUGCGCCGUAAUGUAAAUGGGGAAACGGGAAGGUGGACACGGGGCCACGGGAGGCAAGUGGAUAAAGAUGCACAGCUUAAAAAAAAAAACCUAUGAAGUUACUAGAAGAAUAUAUAGGUUAUCUUGUAGAAUUUUGGGGUAGCGUGUUCUUCUGAAGCUGUCAAAAACCAUAGAACAGUUGGCAGAUUUGACUACUAAAAAAUGAAAAGCUGGGCAGCCAAGGUGGUGACCAGAGAGCAGGAGACUUGGGCUGUGCCGGAGCUGGAAGGGCGCCUUGCCCUCCAGGAAGAUGAUGGUGGAGGAAGUAAGGACCAACCAUAGAAUUACGCCAAAGAAAAAUGCCAAAGUCUUGAGAGAAGAGAGAACCUGCCAAAGAGAAAAUAAGCGACACUCCCAAUUCCUGAAAGAGCUCCCAAAUGUAACAAGAUUGCAAAACAAUGUUUCUAGAGUACCUUGGUGAUCCGCUAUACCUUCGAUGACAAGAAAGGGAUGAAUUUAGAACAGAAUCUGCCAGUGGGAAUGAAGAGGAAAAUAGAGAACCCUUGGAGUGUUGAAGCUAGAACUGUUUGCCUUUUUCAACCAAUAAAAAUAAAAUUGA